CGUGUGGACGCGCGUGCUCCGUCUUCACCUGCCCCGCCGGUCGUGCUGGCCGAAGGCAGGACGUCCUCGUGGCCUGUCCUUCUAGAUCUCUCUGAAAUAUAUGGUCAGUUCAGCUCAGCCAUGGGCUUUGAUGGCUCGUUGAUGUUCAGAGAAUAAGCACAAUAGUGGUUAAUUUAUGUGCCCUUCAACGUCCUGCCUCUCAGCUGUGAUCCGUGGCCAGCAAAAGCAACAUCACUUGGAAGGUGACGAAAAAUGGCACAACACCUGCUCCACCGGCUCCAGACCCACCAGGCGUAUUUUCAUGAAAGGAUCCCCCCGGCACGAACACCUGGGAAGUUGUGAGCAGUGCAAGUGCUGGGGCCCAGCAGUGUCCUGAUGAGCAGCCUUGUGACCCUCAUGUCAGAAGUCUGAGAACCACUG